AGCGAACGCUGGCGGCAGGCCUAACACAUGCAAGUCGAGCGGCCGUAGCAAUACGGCAGCGGCAGACGGGAGAGUAACACGUGGGAACGUACCCUUUGGUUCGGAACAACCCAGGGAAACUUGGGCUAAUACCGGAUAAGUCUGUAAGGAGAAAGAUUUAUCGCCAAAGGAUCGGCCCGCGUCUGAUUGGCUUGUUGGUGAGGUAAUGGCUCACCAGGGCGACGAUCAGUAGCUGGUCUGAGAGGAUGAUCAGCCUCACUGGGACUGUGACACGGCCCAGACUCCUACGGGAGGCAGCAGUGAGGAAUAUUGGACAAUGGGCGCAAGCCUGAUCCAGCCAUGCCGCGUGGAUGAUGAAGGCCCUAGGGUUGUAAAGUCCUUUCGGCGGGGAAGAUAAUGACGGUACCCGCAGAAGAAGCCCCGGCUAACUUCGUGCCAGCCGCCGCAGUAA
rnacentral:rRNA from 1 species